rnacentral:lncRNA from 1 species
GCACGUACGCACGCACUUGCCACAAGGAGACGCUGUUCAGUUUACCGGAUCCUGUCCCGCGCCAGCCAACCAGGACAAGGCCGGGGAGCUCGAGACAGGCAGCCUAGACCAAGAACCGGAAGGAGGAAAAGGAACCGGAGGGAGGAAGAGGAGGGGCGGGACGAGACCACCAGGCAAGAGUCCAAACUUUCCCGCGGCGACCUAACUGCACCUCCAGUGUCUUCCCCCAGAGGGCACAGAAGCAGCAAGAAGGGCGGGAACACUUGACUGGGGUCCAUGCAGCUCUAGGCUGAGUCUUGCAGGGCUGAGCCCCCCAGGCCUGCUCUCCUGUGUCCUGGCCGCUCCGUCAGUGCCUGCCAGUGGGGUCCAGAGGGACCGUUUUUUUAACGCCUCUUUUGCAGUCUCCCGCAUUGACUUCAUAACCAAGUUCUGGGUCCCUGCCUCUGGAGUGCCUGAUGAGACAAAACGGCUCCUCGUCCUGCAUCCCCGCUGCUACUUCCAGAAUUCAGGCCUCGUGGUCUGGAGCCUGCACUGUUCCAUGAGCCUCCUGAGCAACCUGGAGUCCUCUGUCUUUCUUCCCUCAGUGAGAUGCGCCUACUUCUCCCUGGAGAAGCUUGAGGAAGCAGAAAUGCUGGAGAUGAGACGGAGUUUUGCUCUUGUUGCCCAGGCUGGUGCAAUCUCGGCUCACCACUACCUCUGCCUUCUGGGCUCAAGCGAUUCUCCUUCCUCAGCCUCCUGAGUGCUGGGAUUACAGAGACCUCGUCCGCACAGGGGCUUGUUCUUCUGUGUCUUUGCAGGGCUGUUUUGGACUCAGUAUUCACCUAAGCACUCCAAAUUACCCAGCACACCCUGCCUGCAUGGCGCUGCGCUGCACCUUCACUCUGGUCACGGGUCUGGCAGUCAGCUCACCAAUUCCUCCUGCUUCCCUGGGACUUGCCGGCUUUUAGCACUGCAAUUCACUCAGCAAACUGGGACUGUUGGUCACCCUACCUGGCAGCCAGUGAUAAGGUGAGGGCCACUCCUGGGAGGGAGGACACCUGUGGGGAAAAUUCUUGUGUUAUUUAUUUCUCCUUCGGGAUAGGGUGCCUGCAGCGCUUCAUGGGAGGGGGUGGGCUGAUGCUGCGGGCUCAGAAGUUUCAAGGGCAUCUGGGGAGACCAGAUAUUCAGAGACCUUCUAGAUGUGCCUGUUCCAUGUAUCAGGGACGCAGGUUUUCCCAACAGGGCUGGUGUCAUUGGCAUGACAGACCUGCCUUGGCUGAGCGUUCACCUGUCUUUGGAGUUCAGCCACCUUAGCAAGUCCUGGGUUUGUUCUUCAGACUUUGCUGCUCGCCCAUUGCCUGGAUCGGGGGCUACUUUGUAAACCACCAGGAAGACUCCAGUGUUUCUGGUUAAUUUUUAGAUGUUUGUUAAUUGCUCUUGGUCUCUCAUUAAUCCCCUGUGGGUCAUCCAGGAAACAUACUCACCACUGUCUGUUCUCUGAGUUUUCAUUUCCAGGCAUCCGCCCUGCCUGGAUCUCCUCACCUGCCAGGAACUUCCUCUCCACAAGCCGGCCAUCCCAGCAAAAGUUCUAACACCAAAGGUCUGGCAACUAGCCUGCCAUCUUGUGCCUGGAGCCGCCUGCGUGCCACCUACUCCCGAAGAUGGGAACCUUGUUGCCAGUUGGGCAGAUGCGGGGCAAUCCUGUACCAAGACCCCAUUUUACCACCUGCUUUCUCAGACCACUCUGGAACCCACUGUCUCAGAUUGUGUCCUCCAGGAAGCAGACCAUGAGAGGGAGUUGGCAGGGCCAAAGAUUUACUGGGGCUAACUAACACUCAGGAAAGGGAUAGGAAGGAAACAGGGCUGGAGAGCAGGUUGAGCCCGACCUGACAGUCUCGAGCAGCCCAACAGGGAGGUGUGGAGCAAGGGUUGCCCACUAGAGGGGCCUGCAUUGGGUACGGGUGAUGGGGUCCACAUGGUACCUGGCAUAUAGCAGGCUGUGCAAUCCAUAUUAACUGACUGGAUAAAUUAAUGCCCAGAAAAGGUGCCCUGGAGAAUGGGUGUGUGCUGAACACAAUAGGGAAGGGCCCAGCAUCUGCCUUGGCAUAGGCAGAACUGUGCUGUGCCCUGCAACAGGCCACCUGAGAGCUGCUUUGAUCUUGUGUGUACAUUAGAUGACUGCCAGGGGCAUGAAGGGGAUGUGCUUCCAGGGCAUUUGCUGGCAGGGCGUCUCGUGAUCUCUUGGUAUUGGUGUGAGCACAGCCUGGCAGGAGAGGGCAGAUCUCCAUGCAAAGUAUGUCAGAAAGCAGAUGGAAGCCAGGCCCCCUCCUGAAAGAGGCUCCUUGAAGGCUCCUGGGACCACAUUAUCAUUCUCUUCACUCGAGAGAUGAGGACACUGAAAUUCAGAGAGGGGAAGUGAUUUGCCUCAGCUUGUACUAAAGAAACAUUUCAACAGAGAACCCAGUGGAAAUUAUGACAUGUUAUCUUCUCAGAGUCCUGAACUCCCAUCCCUACCUCAGAAGAGACUCCUCUGUUCACAGAAGCUAAAGGCAGUUCCUUCCCAAUGGCAACUAUGUUUGGAUGUUGGAUCUACACUUUCUCAAGCACUGUGAUCUUCAAAUACUGCCAUCCAGGGCCAUGCAGCAAACAAGCAACAGGGAAAUAUCCCACUAUGCAAUCCUAUUUUGAGAUGAUAUUUAGGAUGAGAGAACAUGCAUUAGUUACCUACCAGCUUGACAGGAAUGGAUUUCCAAAUCUGACACACCAUAGCCUGAAUUCUCACCAGUUUGCUCCUGGAAAGGCCCGCUCAUGCAUGAGCCCCUGCCACUCUUCUAAAUAAGCUUCCAGGCAUUACCUGCAUGCUGUGUUCCUGUGGUGGGAUGGCAGUAAUCUCUGCUAAGAUAAACGGGAGCUUCUGUGGAUAAAGCAUAAACGCAGUGAAGUGUGUGUGGCUGGAAGAUUUAAUGCCUCUACAGUGCUUAGAUACAAGUUGAGCUUGGAAUUCCAGAGGUAGAGCACUGCUGAUUGGAGACAUAUUAAGUAAAAUGUACUGUGGAAAUGAGAUAAAACCUUUAUUCUUGCUAAUGAUUGUCAUUGUAUGUAUUCAGGUGUCCAACAAAGGAUUUUAGAAUAAAGUGUGCCUUUAAAGUUU